AGUGAACGCUGGCGGUAGGCCUAACACAUGCAAGUCGAACGGCAGCACAGUAAGAGCUUGCUCUUACGGGUGGCGAGUGGCGGACGGGUGAGGAAUACAUCGGAAUCUACUUUUUCGUGGGGGAUAACGUAGGGAAACUUACGCUAAUACCGCAUACGACCUACGGGUGAAAGCAGGGGAUCUUCGGACCUUGCGCGAUUGAAUGAGCCGAUGUCGGAUUAGCUAGUUGGCGGGGUAAAGGCCCACCAAGGCGACGAUCCGUAGCUGGUCUGAGAGGAUGAUCAGCCACACUGGAACUGAGACACGGUCCAGAUUCCUACGGGAGGCAGCAGUGGGGAAUAUUGGACAAUGGGCGCAAGACUGAUCCAGCCAUACCGCGUGGGUGAAGAAGGCCUUCGGGUUGUAAAGCCCUUUUGUUGGGAAAGAAAAGCAGCGGGUUAAUACCCCGCUGUUCUGACGGUACCCAAAGAAUAAGCACCGGCUAACUUCGUG
rnacentral:rRNA from 1 species